GUCAUGGUGGUCUAGUGGUUAGAGCGUCCGCCUUGAAUGCGGGCGGUCGCAGGUUCCAACCCCGGCCAAGUCA